rnacentral:rRNA from 1 species
GAUGAACGCUGGCGGCGUGCCUAAUACAUGCAAGUCGUGCGAUAAGACGCGGUGGUUGCUACUCUGAUGUUAGCCGCGGACGUGAGAGUUGAAUGAGGAUAACCCACCUAUAAGACUGGGCUAACUUCGGGAAACCGGUGCUAAUUCUGGACUCUAUCUUCAUGCGCAUGGUUCAAUAGUUCAAGCCGGUUUUGCUGUACCUUAUAGCUGGAUCCGCGCCGCAUUAGCUAGUUGGUAAGGUAACGGCUUACCAAGGCAACGAUGCGUAGCCGACCUGAGAGGGUGAUCGGCCACACUGGAACUGAGACACGGUCCAGACUCCUACGGGAGGCAGCAGUAGGGAAUCUUCCGCAAUGGGCGAAAGCCUGACGGAGCAACGCCGCGUGAGUGAUGAAGGUCUUCGGAUCGUAAAACUCUGUUAUUAGGGAAGAACAAAUGUGUAAGUAACUAUGCACGUCUUGACGGUACCUAAUCAGAAAGCCACGGCUAACUACGU